rnacentral:rRNA from 1 species
GGUGUGUACUGGUCUUGAUGGAAGCUUACCUCUUGGUGGGUCGGCAUGCCCUUCGUUGGGUGUGUCGAUUAACCAGGACUUUUACUUUGAGAAAAUUAGAGUGUUCAAAGCAGGCUUUCGCCCCGAAUACAUUAGCAUGGAAUAAUAGAAUAGGACGCGCGUCUUUAUUUUGUUGGUUUCUAAAUUCGCCGUAAUGAUUAAUAGGGAUAGUCGGGGGCAUUCGUAUUGCUUGGUCAGAGGUGAAAUUCUUGGAUUCUAGCAAGACGAACUACUGCGAAAGCAUUUGCCAAGGAUGUUUUCAUUGAUCAAGAACGAAGGUUAGGGGAUCGAAAACGAUCAGAUACCGUUGUAGUCUUAACAGUAAACUAUGCCGACUAGGGAUCGGACAAGCACAAUCUAUGACUUGUUCGGCACCUGAAGAGAAAUCUUUAAGUCUAGGUUCGGGGGGGAGUAUGGUCGCAAGGCUGAAACUUAAAGGAAUUGACGGAAGGGCACCACCAGGUGUGGAGCCUGCGGCUUAAUUUGACUCAACACGGGGAAACUCACCAGGUCCAGACACAAUAAGGAUUGACAGAUUGAUAGCUCUUUCUUGAUCUUGUGGUUGGUGGUGCAUGGGCCGUUCUUAGUUGGUGGAGUGAUUUGUCUGGUUAAUUCCGAUAACGAACGAGACCUUAACCUGCUAAAUAGACCCGGGGCCUUAGGGAACCGGCUGUCUUCUUAGAGGGACUGUAGG